AUUGAACGCUGGCGGCAGGCCUAACACAUGCAAGUCGAACGAGUGGCGGACGGGUGAGUAAUGUCUGGGAACCUGCCCGAUGGAGGGGGAUAACUACUGGAAACGGUACCUAAUACCGCAUACCAUCGGAUGUGCCCAGAUGGGAUUAGCUUUGAGGUGGGGUAAAGGCUCACCUGGGCCACGAUCCCUAGCUGGUCUGAGAGGAUGACGGGCCACACUGGAACUGAGACACGUUCCAGACUCCUACGGGAGGCAGCAGGGGGGAAUAUUGCACAAUGGGCGCAAGCCUGAUGCAGCCAUGCCGCGUGGAUGAAGAAGGCCUUCGGGUUGUAAAGUACUUUCAGCGGGGAGGCGGUACCCGCAGAAGAAGCACCGGCUAACUCCGUGCCAGCAGCCGCGGUAAUUC
rnacentral:rRNA from 1 species